GCUAACCUUAAGAAAUGUGUAUUCUGCACUGAUCAAUUGGUAUUUUUAGGCUUUGUUGUGAGUUCACAGGGACUGAAGGUUGAUGAAGAGAAGAUCAAGGCGAUACAAGACUGGCCGACUCCAACCACGAUCGGACAUAUCCGCAGCUUCCAUGGACUGGCCAGUUUCUAUCGACGAUUUGUGAAGGACUUCAGUACCAUUGCCGCCCCAAUGACCUCCGUGAUCAAGAAGAAUGUAACCUUUGCUUGGGGCCCUGCCCAAGAGGAGUCUUUCAACAGGCUUAAAUAUAGCUUGACACAUGCACCGGUUCUAACUCUUCCUAACUUUGAUAAACCUUUUGAGAUUGAGUGUGAUGCUUCAGGGACAGGAAUAGGAGCCGUGCUGACCCAAGGAGGACGGCCAGUGGCCUUUUUCAGUGAGAAAUUGAGUGGAGCCACCCUCAAUUACCCCACCUAUGAUAAAGAGCUAUAUGCUCUAGUAAGGUCGCUUGAAACUUGGCAACAUUAUCUUUUGUCUAAAGAGUUUAUUAUUCAUACAGAUCAUGAGACUCUUAAGCAUUUGAGGGGCCAGACCACACUUAAAAAGAGGCAUGCUAGGUGGCUGGAGUUCGUGGAAACUUUUCCUUAUGUGAUUAAGUACAAGAAGGGAAAGGACAACAUAGUGGCCGACGCCCUAUCCCGGCGCCACACACUCAUUACCACCAUGGAGGCUAAGAUCAUGGGUUUUGAGCAACUCAAAAUAUCUUAUGAAACUGACCCUGAUUUUUCUGAGCUUUACAGUAACACGGCUAAGGGAGCCAUGGGUCCAUUCUAUCAGCAGGACGGAUUCCUCUUCAAGGAGAAACGCCUGUGUAUCCCUCAUGGUUCCAUGCGACAUUUACUGACCAGAGAAGCUCAUGGGGGUGGAUUGAUGGGGCAUUUCGGUCGGGACAAAACUCUGAGUGUCCUGUCCGACCACUUCUAUUGGCCCCGGAUGAGGCGCUACGUCGAGAGCCUUUGCUCCAAGUGCACUGUCUGUCUCAAAACCAAAUCCAGGUCGCAUCCUUAUGGUUUACACAUGCCUUUACCUAUUCCUAUUGCACCGUGGGUCGAUCUGUCUAUGGACUUUGUGCUGGGCUUGCCCAAGACAGAACAUAAGGAUUCUAUUUUUGUUGUAGUGGACAGGUUCUCCAAGAUGGCACACUUCAUUCCGUGUUCCAAAACCAAUGACGCAAGCCAAACCGCUGAUCUCUUCUUCAAGGAAGUGGUGCGUUUACAUGGAGUGCCUCGUACCAUCGUGUCCGACCGAGACACAAAAUUUCUCAGCCACUUCUGGAGGACAUUGUGGAAAAAGCUUGGAACCAAGCUCCUUUUCUCGACCACUUGCCAUCCACAGACUGAUGGACAGACCGAGGUAGUAAACCGUACACUCUCUCAGUUAUUGAGGGCUACGGUGGGUAAGAAUCUUAAAAACUGGCUGAGUUGUUUGCCUUUCAUUGAGUUUGCUUAUAACCAUGCAAGGCACUCUAUUACUAACCUCUCCCCUUUUGAGAUCGUGUACGGCUUUAGACCAGAGACGCCCAUGGACCUAGCCGCAUUGCCCCCAGCCAUGCAAGUCAGCCAGAGUGGUGACAAAAAGGCUGAGUUUGUAAAGAACAUGCACCGGCAAGUCAAGGAGACUUUGGAGAAGAAGGCUGAAAGGAACCGGAUUAAGCUCAACAAGGGGCGCACAGAAGUUAUCUUCCAGCCAGGCGACUGGGUGUGGCUCCACAUGAGGCCAGAACGGUUUCCGGAAGAGAGGAAGAGCAAAUUAUCCCCACGGGGAGAUGGACCAUUCCGAGUGCUCGAUCGGAUCAAUGACAAUGCCUACCGGCUAGAACUGCCAGGUGAGUUCCAAGUUUCCCGAACGUUCAAUGUAUCUGAUUUGUCUCCUUAUAUUGCAGAUGAUGGAGAUGUUCUGAGGACAGAACCUGUUCAAGAGGGAGGGGAUGUUGUAGUACCCACGACUGAGGUUCCCAUUAUCCGCAAAGGCCCUACCACAAGGUCCGGUUCAAGAGUUAUAAGAGCUGGAUUUGCCAAAGCUGUCCAGGAGUUGCUUGCACAGGAACAAACCGGGUUCAAGCAACUAUUGAUCCAGGAGUUGUCUGACUUGAAGCUGGAAGACACCGGUGAACCACUAGAGGUUCCAGACCCUGUCCAUUCGAGCCAGUUCUCCUCCAUCGGCCAGAAUGAAGCCGGCCUGACCAUUUCCACCUUCAUACUCAAUCCAUCCAACCAACUUGCUUCCGGUUCAGAGAUAUAGCCGACCAUCAGAAGGAGUAGUAUGUGUUGUACUCUUUUUCCUUAUCGAGGUUUUGUCCCACUGGGUUUUCCCGAAAGGUUUUAAUGAGGCAACAAGCAAGCAUACUAUGAGUUCUGAUCCGGACAUCUCAAACCGCGACCGGUCUAUUGUUUUCUUUAUUUUUAUUUCGGUUAAGACUUUGGCCAUUUGUCUAGGCCUUUUUAAUCUUUAAGUCCAGUAAGGAACAUCUAUUUAAACCCUUGUAGUUGCCAACUUUUCGGCUAAGUCUUUUAUGAAAAAUCGUUUUUGCUUUAGCAAAGAAACCCUAAGUCUUUCAGUUGUGUGAAACAUUGAGAGCAGCCGUGUGACAUAUCAAAGAGCCGAUCAAUUGUUCUUUGUGGCGUCCUUCGAUCCAUUCCAUUCCUUGUCCGAAUCUUGAGAGAGACAUACGUCCAGCAAGAGCCGGAUCCAUACCUAUCUUCCUGUCCGACCUAGGCAUCUUGCUGAGAGAGACAUACGUCCAGCAGCAGAUCCCAUCCGCCAAUCUAUUCCUUUCUCUAUCUUUUGUUUUAGAUUUCAUUCAACCAAUUCCAUAAAAACCAAAAGAAUCAUAUCUAGUUUCUGUUCUUGUUCCUGUUGAAAACUCACUAAAGGUUCCUAUCUGUUUCAGGUUCGAGCACAAGCAAGAGAUAAGCCGGCCAGUACCAUCCAUCCGUGGCAAGACUGAACCGCGGAACGGCCAUCAGUCAGUCUGUCCAUCCGUCCGUUCGACCCUCCGACCCGUGCCUACAACAAGUACACACAGGACGUCCGUGGUCAUCCGUCAGUACACAUAUCAGCAUGCUGGCCCUCGUCCGUCCGUCCGUUCGACCCUCCGACCCGUGCCUACAACAUUUUGGUAUCAGAGCUGAAGUUUCCUGCGAAACUCAGUUCUUUCUGAACCCUAGCCGUCACAAUUCAAAAAAAAAAAUAUAUAUAUUUACUUUCCUUAAUUUUUUUUUCGGAUUGUUCUCCAAGUUUUCGAUUUUUCCAUUUAAAAAAAAAAAAAAAAAUUUUUAUAUUCACUUUCCUUAUUUUUAAAUUUUCGGAUUGUUCUCCAAGUUUUCAAAAAAAAAAAAUAUAUAUAUAUAUAUUCUCUCUUUCCUUUUUCAAACCUGAUUCGAUUUUUUUGUCUUAACUUUUUGCAUUUACUCUUAGCCUUGGUCGAUACUCAUAGUAUCCGACCCAAGCAACUAUUUAACCCCCUCUUGCCUUUAAUCUUUCUUUGAGUUUCCUUUCAGAGAACUAUGGGAGAUGUAGGUCAAGACCAAGCGGCCAUAAACGCUCAGCUCUUAGCUGACAAUGAAGAACUGAGGGCGAGCCUUAGGACUAUCACAGCCGAGCUUGCUCAGCUCCGGCAGGGAGGCAGGCCCAACGGACCUCGACCACCAGGAAGGCAUCAGCCGGACCCGCAUGACACUGACUCGGACGCGGACAGUACCGAUGAUACGCGCAGUCAGGACGAGGAGAGGCCAAACCGGGGAGGUAGGAGGAACGCGCGAGGACCCCAGGCCCAAGUAGGAGGAGGCCGCGACCAUAGGGGAGGUCGAGACCGAGAAGAGGAAGAGCCUUGGUUGGGAGGCAAGGCACUUAAGCUUCAUCCCCCAACGUUUGCCGGCAAGGUUGAUCCGGAUGCCUACAUCGUGUGGGAGAAGCGCAUGGAGUACAUCUUCGACUAUUACCAAUAUAGUGAGGCCAAGAAGGUUGCCCUAGCAGCAGCCCAGCUGACGGACAAUGCUCUUUCGUGGUGGGAUUGAGACGUUGCCAAGUCCGGGCCAGUGUGGAGAGCGCGUAAUUGGACCGAGAUGCGGACCAAGCUUCGCGCGAGGUACAUUCCAUCUUACUACCAGCGUGAUGUGCUAAAACGUUUUCGUAAACUUACGCAGGGAACUAAGACUGUGGAGGAGUACUUUGAGGAGUUCGAGGCUCUUAGGAAUAAGCUUGAGACCGACGAGCCCGAGGAGACAAUGAUGUCCCAAUUCCUGGAAGGGCUGCAAGACCGCAUUGCCCGCAAGGUGGAGAGACAACACUAUGAAGACUUCAACGAUCUAUUGCACUUUGCUACGCAAGCCGAGCAGCACAUCAAGCGCAAGACGGCCAGUACCAGCCGCAGCAAACCUGCUUGGACUCAACCGGGUUCAAAGCAAGGCGACAAGGGCAAGACGAUUGAGAUUGAGAGCCGAUUCAAGACAAACCCGGCUGAAUCGUCCAAUGCAUCUAAGCCGGAGCAGGGUAAGACUCAAGCCCAAAAUUUGCGUACUCGUGACAUCAUUUGUUAUAAGUGUCAGGGCAAGGGCCACUAUGCUCGGGAUUGUCCAAACAAACGAGUGAUGGUCCUAAAGGGGGAUGGCGAGUAUGAAUCCCAAGAUGAGGCAGAGGCCGCGGCAGCGAUCUCUGAUGAGGAAGUAACCGACUACCCGGAGACAGGCGAGCUGCUAGUGACCCGGAGAGCCCUUAGCACCCUCUUUGACCCAGAGACCAUCCAGCGGGAGAACAUCUUCCACACCAGAUGUAGUGUUGAUCACAAGGUAUGUAGUUUGAUCAUAGAUGGCGGAUCUUGUACUAACGUGGCUAGCAAGUAUCUUGUUGAUAAGCUAGGGUUGAUCAAAACUGCCCAUCCUCGACCAUACCGUCUCAAAUGGCUCAAUGAUGAGACUGAGCUCAAGAUUGCCGAACAAGUUGUUGUGUCCUUCAGUAUUGGCAAGUACCACGACCAGGUCAAGUGUGAUGUUGUGCCCAUGCAAGCCGGCCAUAUACUUCUCGGAAGGCCAUGGCAGUUUGACAAGGAGACACUUCACCAUGGCCGCACCAACAUCUACAGUUUCGUCCACAACAACAAGAAGCACAGCCUAGCACCUCUCAGCCCCCAAGAAGUUCAUGAUAUGCAGAAGGCAAUGACGCAAUCCGGCCAGGUAAGUAACACUAACCUUUACAUGACUUCUGGACAAGUGCUUAAAUCAUUACAACGUGAGACACAGGUGCUACUAAUGAUCUUUAAGGAAGGUUGUUUUGCAGGUUUAGAAGCUCCUGAAGUACCGGACGUAGUACAAGACCUCAUGGGACGUUACAAGGAUGUCUUCCCUGACGAGAUCCCUGCCGGUUUGCCCCCUAUCCGUGGCAUAGAACAUCAGAUCGAUCUUGUACCCGGCGCGCCACUACCAAACCGAGCCGCUUACCGUGUCAACCCUGAGGAAGCUAAGGAGCUGGAACGGCAGGUCCAAGAUCUCAUGGACAAAGGCUACAUCCGCGAGAGCCUUAGCCCCUGUGCAGUCCCGGUCCUACUAGUGCCUAAGAAAGAUGGGUCAUGGCGCAUGUGUGUGGACUGCCGAGCCAUCAACAACAUAACCAUCAAAUAUCGGUACCCUAUACCUAGAUUAGAUGAUAUGUUGGAUGAACUGAGUGGUUCUGUUGUGUUUUCUAAGAUUGAUCUCAGGAGUGGAUACCAUCAAGUCCGCAUGAAGGAAGGAGAUGAGUGGAAAACCGCCUUCAAGACCAAGCAAGGUCUAUACGAGUGGCUGGUGAUGCCGUUUGGCCUUACCAACGCCCCUAGCACCUUCAUGAGACUCAUGAAUGAGGUCCUCCGACCUUACAUUGGUAAAUUCGUGGUUGUAUACUUUGAUGAUAUCUUGAUAUACAGCAGGUCUUUAACUGAACACAUGGGACACCUAGAACAGGUUUUGAAAGCCUUAAGGGAAGAAGGCCUUUAUGCUAACCUUAAGAAAUGUGUAUUCUGCACUGAUCAAUUGGUAUUUUUAGGCUUUGUUGUGAGUUCACAGGGACUGAAGGUUGAUGAAGAGAAGAUCAAGGCGAUACAAGACUGGCCGACUCCAACCACGAUCGGACAUAUCCGCAGCUUCCAUGGACUGGCCAGUUUCUAUCGACGAUUUGUGAAGGACUUCAGUACCAUUGCCGCCCCAAUGACCUCCGUGAUCAAGAAGAAUGUAACCUUUGCUUGGGGCCCUGCCCAAGAGGAGUCUUUCAACAGGCUUAAAUAUAGCUUGACACAUGCACCGGUUCUAACUCUUCCUAACUUUGAUAAACCUUUUGAGAUUGAGUGUGAUGCUUCAGGGACAGGAAUAGGAGCCGUGCUGACCCAAGGAGGACGGCCAGUGGCCUUUUUCAGUGAGAAAUUGAGUGGAGCCACCCUCAAUUACCCCACCUAUGAUAAAGAGCUAUAUGCUCUAGUAAGGUCGCUUGAAACUUGGCAACAUUAUCUUUUGUCUAAAGAGUUUAUUAUUCAUACAGAUCAUGAGACUCUUAAGCAUUUGAGGGGCC
rnacentral:lncRNA from 1 species